rnacentral:rRNA from 1 species
GUAGGUGGCAAGCGUUGUCCGGAAUUAUUGGGCGUAAAGCGCGCGCAGGUGGGUUCUUUAAGUCUGAUGUGAAAGCCCCCGGGCUCAACCCGGGGAGGGUCAUUGGAAACUGGGGAACUUGAGUGCAGGAGAGGAAAGUGGAAUUCCACGUGUAGCGGUGAAAUGCGUAGAUAUGUGGAGGAACACCAGUGGCGAAGGCGACUUUCUGGCCUGUAACUGACACUGAGGCGCGAAAGCGUGGGGAGCAAACAGGAUUAGAUACCCUGGUAGUCCACGCCGUAAACGAUGAGUGCUAAGUGUUGGGGGGGUUUCCGCCCCUCAGUGCUGCAGCUAACGCAUUAAGCACUCCGCCUGGGGAGUACGGUCGCAAGACUG